rnacentral:rRNA from 1 species
UACAGAGGUCCCAAGCGUUGUUCGGAUUCAUUGGGCGUAAAGGGUGUGUAGGUGGCGCCGUAAGUCGGGUGUGAAAUUUCGGAGCUUAACUCCGAAACUGCAUUCGAUACUGCGGUGCUUGAGGACUGGAGAGGAGACUGGAAUUCAUGGUGUAGCAGUGAAAUGCGUAGAAAUCAUGAGGAAGACCAGUGGCGAAGGCGGGUCUCUGGACAGUUCCUGACACUGAGACACGAAGGCCAGGGGAGCAAACGGG